AUCUACGGCCAUGUCACCCUGAACAAGCCUGAUCCCGUCUGAUCUCGGAAGCUAAGCAGGGUUGGGCCGGCCUGGUUAGUACUUGGAUGGGAGACCACCUAGGAAGACUAGGUGCUGUAGACA
rnacentral:rRNA from 1 species